rnacentral:rRNA from 1 species
CCCUUAGAUGCUCUGGGCCGCACGCGCGCUACACUGGUCGAUGCAACGAGUUUCUUUCCUUGGCCGACAGGCCUGGGCAAUCUUUGAACAUCGAUCGUGAUCGGGAUAGAUUCUUGUAAUUUUUGAUCUUAAACGAGGAAUUCCUAGUAAACGCAAGUCAUCAGCUUGCAUUGAUUACGUCCCUGCCCUUUGUACACACCGCCCGUCGCUCCUACCGAUUGAGUGUUCCGGUGAAUAAUUCGGACUGCAGCAGCGUGGGGACUCCUCAUGCUGCAGCGGAAAGUUUGGUGAACCUUAACACUUAGAGGAAGGAGAAGUCGUAACA